AUUAUGAUACUUAAUAUCACAAUUUAAAAAAUUUUAAACAGAUUGACAAACUGUAUCAGUUGUUUAAACUAGAACUUAAACAAAGAAUAAGAAAUUACCAUUAAGAUAGUAAUUUUAUAUUCUUCAACAGAUAAUGAGCAUGUGCUAUGAACUAAUUAAGCAUUUAAUUAAAAGACAGUUUAAUUAGUUCAUAGUGAAUGCUUAUUGUCUAUUUCUUAAUUCUAUUAGUGAAGAUUUAUUUGGCAAUAAGUCAAAAAAUGUCACCCCCAUUGGUCAAGACAUACAGGCAUGUCUUGCUUUACAGCUUUUCACUUUUUAGGACUUCAGUAAUAUGGAACUUCUCAAUUAUAUUUCAUAUUUUUAUUUUAUAUAUCAAAAUGAAAAUUAUCUGCAAAAUAAUACUUACAAGGAGACUACAUGACUUGUGACUCAUCAAUUUUGACGAGGGGGUUUGUGCGUGCAGAACUCCACUAAUAGGGUUCGUUGGGCCAGCCAUUCGAUGCGAUGCUCAGGCAAACUCCAGAAGGAAUUCGUGGAUUCCGACUAAAACUUAUAUAUGUGCCCAGA
rnacentral:lncRNA from 1 species